UACGUAGGGAGCAAGCGUUGUCCGGAAUCAUUGGGCGUAAAGGGUGCGUAGGCGGGUCUUUAAGUCAGGGUGAAAUCCUGGAGCUCAACUCCAGAACUGCCUUUGAUACUGAAGAUCUUGAGUUCGGGAGAGGUGAGUGGAACUGCGAAGUGUAGAGGUGAAAUUCGUAGAUAUUCGCAAGAACACCAGUGGCGAAGGCGGACUCACUGGCCCGAUACUGACGCUGAGGCACGAAAGCGUGGGAGCAACAGG
rnacentral:rRNA from 1 species